GGGGUCGAUUUUGGUUUCGACUUCGUUUGUUAAUCCAGGGGAAGCGUGCCGGUGCAGGCUAGAGACCACCGUAAGCGUCGUAGUAACUUAUAAGCGCCGAGAACACUCAGCGCGACUACGCCCUCGCUGCCUAAUUAACCCAGCGACCGCGUGUCUGUCAGCCCCAGGUUCGUCCCUGGCUUGGACGCUGGCAUCGACUUAAGGGACUUGCUAUCAGGCUGUGUUAACAGGGCCUGAUGGGACUUUUUACUGAUAACUGGGCCUAUCAUCUGAACAUGUUCGCGUGAGUCAGAGGGUCGAGUAGAGAUCUGUGCGGACUGCGCACGGAGAAGCCCUGGUGAGAUGGCGAAGGACCCGGGUUCGAUUCCCGGCGGCUCCACAA
rnacentral:tmRNA from 1 species